UUGUAAUAGAUGGAAAAGGACC
rnacentral:miRNA from 1 species